rnacentral:ribozyme from 1 species
UGCCCAGCAACUCCUAUCCCUACCUCCUCGUGGUACCGGCCGGAAACUAUGAGCAACCUUAGGGAAGAUCGGGUAACCGACCCAGGUGGGAACUUUGGUCGUAGGCUGACAUGGAAGG